AAAAAGACAAACCCUAGGUUUACGUGUCCAACUUUGACUAUCUGUCUUAUAUGAAUUUUUUUUAUAAUUCAUAUUUUUAUAGUUGUUCGAUGAUAAAACAUGAUUAAUAUUUUAUGUGUGACUUGUUUUUUUAUUUUUUUUUCAUAAUUUUUUCAAAUAAGACAGACGGUCAAAUGUUAGGCACGGAAACCAGGGUUUGUCUUUUU
rfam:Oryza barthii chromosome 6, whole genome shotgun sequence.